GGAGUUUCGCCAUGUUGGCCAGGCUGGUCUCAAACUCCUGGCUUCAGGUGAUCCACCCACCUUGGCCUCCCAAAGUGCUGGGAUUACAGGUGUGAGCCACCGCACCCAGCUUUUAUUUUUUAGAGAUGAGGUCUCCCUAUGUUGCCCAGUCUGGUCUCAAAUUCCUGGGCUCAAGUGAUCCUCCCACCUCGGCCUCCCAAAGUGCUGAGAUUAUAGAUGUGAGCCACCGUGCUUGGCCUAGAAGUCUUAAGCUGUCCUGGAACAAGUGGGGCAAGAGCAGGGAGCAGGAGUCCCUGGAGGGCCAAACCCAGACCUGACGCUCCAGCUAGGAGUUGGCUGUGGAUGGAGUAUGGAGCGGCAGUCCUGACAGCUGGAGGCGGGAAUGAGCUCUGUGUGUGAUGGUGGAGUGCCCAGCACGGACCUCCUCCAUGUGCCCUGCCUGCUUACUGGCCAUGUUCCUAGUCCAGACUCCUCCUCCCUAAAAAACAAGAACGGCCUAGAUCAGCAUAAACUUAGGGCAGGAGUAGGGGUCGGGAAUCGUGGGUGAUCAACUUGGCACUGGGCCAAGCUGGGAAAAAAAAAAAAAAUGUACCUCAGCCAGGCGCGAUGGCUCACACAUGUAAUCCCAGCGCUUUGGGAGGCCCAGGCAGGCGGAUCACGAGGUCAAGAGAUCAAGACCAUCCUGGCCAACAUGGUGAAACCUGGUCUCAACUAAAAAUAUAAAAAUUAGCCCGCCAUGGUGGCAUGCAACUGUAAUCCCAGCUAUUUAGGAGGCGGAGAUAGGAGAAUCACUUAAACCCAGGAGGCAGAGGUUGCAGUGAGCCGAGAUGACGCCACUGCACUCCAGUCUGGCGACAGAGCCAGACUGCAUCUCAAAAACAAAAACCCACAAAACUGUACCUGUCAUUCUUCACCCACCUGUCAAUUCUUGUGUCCCCAGGGUUUCAAACUCAUAUGCUGCAAAGACCAGAACCGGAAUGUUAGCAGGAAGCAGGGAAAAUUGAGGCACACAUUACCUUCUGCCUAAGGCUUGGUUAGACUAGGAAGGGGAAUUUUCCCCAUUGUUAAUACUUUUUUUUGGCCUGGCGGGGUGGCUCACGAUUGUAAUCCCAGCACUUCGGGAGGCCAAGGCAGGAUGAUCACUUGAGCUCGGGAGUUUGAGACCAGCCUGGCAACAUAGUGAGACCCCAUCUCUACAAAAAAGUAGCUGGGUGCGAUGGUACAUGCCUGUAGUCCCAACUACUUGGGAGGCUGAGGUGGGAUGAUUGCUUGAGCCCAGGAGGUCGAGACUGCAGUGAGCUGUGAUCGUGCCUCUGCAUUCCAGCCUGGGUGACAAAGGCAUACCUUGUCUCCAAAAAAGUUUUUUUUAAUGUAUAUUUUUAAUAACUAUCUGAUAUUGUUUGGCUGUGUCCCCACCCAAAUCUCAUCUCAAAUUGUAAUCAGAAUUGUAAUCCGGGGAAGGACCUGGUGGGAGGUGAUUGGAUCAUGGGGACAGUUUCCCCCAUGCUGUUAUCGUGAUAGUGAGUGAGUUCUCACAAGAUCUGAUGGUUUUAUAAGGGGCUCUUCUCCCUUGGCUCGCUGUCUCUCCUGCCGCCUUGUGAAGAAGGUGACUGCUUCCCCUUUGCCUUCUGCCAUGAUUGUAAGUUUCUGAGGCCUCCCUAGCCAUGCAGAACUGUGAAUCAAGUAAACCUCUUUCCUUUAUAAAUUACCCAGUCUUGGGUGGUAUCUUUAUGGCAGAGUAAGAAUGGACCAAUAGGGCCGGGCACGGUGGCUCAUGCCUGCAAUCCCAGCACUUUGGGAGGCUGAAACAGGUGGAUCACCUGAGGUCUGGAGUUCAA
rnacentral:lncRNA from 1 species